UCCGAACAUGCGCGCUUUAAUUUUUUUCUGCAUGCUGCGCGAUUGUUGUUGCGCCUGCGCGUGCUAAGAAUUUGGAUACAGGUUUUAUAACGAACGCCGAAUUCUUUGAACUAAUCAAAGAUUAUGUAACAGACGUUGAAACCGAGCCAUAUGGAGACACUGAGAGCGAAGAAGAUGAUGACGUCAUUAAUUUGCCUGGUGGCCCGGAUGAUGAACUCGAUUUGGAAUUUUUAGCAGACAAACUUGGUCUGAUAAAACGUCCUGCAGAAUCAAGUGAGAUAGAACGCCAUCAUCAUCAUCAUCAUCAUCAUCACCACCACCACCACCACCAUCAUCAUCAUCAUCAUCACCAUCACCACCACCACUCGAGCGUCAGCUGUCAUUGUAAGCACUACAGUUGUAAGUGCUGCCUGCAUCAUACUUUCAAGGUCAACCUUGGCUUCCACAAGGUGAAAUUUCGUCUGCGUGCUUGUCUAGAGGUACGUUAUUUACAGAGAUGUCACGGUUUUGAAAUAACCUUCACCUUGAACGGACGUCGUCUGCUACACAAAGAAUACUCAUGUAUGUAUAAUUUCUUUCCUAUUUCAUGAAAUGUAUCUAGUCUAAAAAUUUUAAUUA